rnacentral:rRNA from 1 species
AUGGCGCAGCCGUCGCAGGAGGCGAUCGAAACUUUCAUCAGCAUCACCGGCGCCGACGAGGCCGUCGCUGCCCGCAAGCUCGAGGAGCAUAGCGGUGACCUAAAUGAAGCGGUUAAUGCAUACUUCAAUGAAGGAGAUAGAUCCACCACCAGAAUCAAUCAGAAUCCUAUACCUGACAGUCAUGAUGAUAUUAUGGAUCUGGACGAACCAUUUGAUCCUAUGUUUACCCGAUCUAUGGGCAACCCUUUUGGUAUUUUGGACCCAAGUUUUGUUGAGAGAGCCGCUGCUGGUUUCUUUGGUCAGGGACCUCAGGUUACACAUCCCAGGGAUGUGCGGCAGAUACCUAUUGAAGUUAAAGACACUGAUAAUCCUCAAAUUGGAAGUUCUGGUCAGGGUCCUGUUAUUGAAGAUGUUACUGGACGUGAGUCUUUAUAUGGUCUGGAGGUUCAUGGGACUGUUGUCAUUGAUGAGGAUGAUGAUGACUUGCCAUCUACCCAUGCUCCUGUUAUCCCAAGAAAUACUCCAAGCACAUACAAUUCUGCACCAAGUGCUCCUCCAUUGGUGGAUGUUAGUGACUAUAACAAUGACAUAGAAGAGGAGAUGAUCCGUGCAGCAAUUGAAGCGUCAAAAAGGGAUGCGGAAGGACUUACAAAUGUAGCAGAGCGAGAGAGAGUUCUACUUCAAGAGGGAAUGCAUGCAGUUGAUAAUUCUUCUGAUUUAUCUGAUAAGGAGGACAUUGAAGGAGCAAGUGAGGCAGUUGAAAGGCAAGUACUAACCACAGGGCAAGCUGGAACUUCUAGGCAAUUGGUUGAUGAAGAGAACUUCCAAGACGAUAUUGAAGAUGUUGACGAAGAACCUUUAGUUAGACAACGUUCCAGGCGUGUUCUAUCUGGAACUGCCGGGCCAACAGAAGCAGUGCAAAGGGCUGAGAGUCCUCCCUCAGGCCCUCAGCCUCAUGGUACUGAAAAUGCUCACCAGCAUAAUGGAGCUUUCCCCUCAGAGUGGGGAGGCAUUUCUUCUGAAGAGCACGAUGAAGCUGUUAUGCUUGAGGCUGCUAUGUUUGGUGGGAUUCCUGAACACACAGAAUAUCCAUUUCCCCUCCCAUCUCAUGGAAUCUCAACUGGUUAUCCCCGAGUAGCACAUCCUCCAUCACCAACAUUAACUGCACAGAGGUUGUUAAGGGAGCAGCAGGAUGAUGAGUAUCUUGCAGCCCUCCAAGCUGAUAGAGAAAAAGAGUUGAAGGCUGUGGAGGAUGCUGAGCUCCGUAGAUUAGAAGAAGUUGCUGCAAGAGAAGCUGCUAUUGAAAUGGAAAAGCAAAAGAACGAGGAAAAGCUGAGAAAACAACUUGAGGAAGAGGUACUUCAGUUGGAGUUGGAGUCCAUGCUUGCAGCCAAGCGAGCUUCAUUACCAAAGGAGCCACUGCCAAAUUCUGAAGGAGCCGUCACAGUUGUAGUUCGCAUGCCUGAUGGCAGUCGCCAGGGAAGGCGCUUUUUGAAAUCUGAUCAGCUCCAGGUUCUUUUUGAUUUCAUUGACAUCAGCAAGUCAUUCAAGCCAGGAACCUAUAGACUGGUGAGGUCUUACCCCAGGCGUGCAUUCACCGACGAGGAGUGUCAGAUGUCGUUGAGUGAUGUGGGCCUCAGCAGCAAACAGGAGGCCUUGUUUCUAGAACAAAUUUCAGGAUAG